UAUCAACAGCAUGGUAUCGAUUUU
rnacentral:piRNA from 1 species